GACGAAUUUGUGAGAGGUAGACUUAUCGAUAGAUUCGAGACGUGUUAAGCGGAGUUCACUGCGUUAUCUUUUUAACAUUCUUUUGGCUACUCGUUAAUUGAUACAGAAUGAUGAAGGUUGAUUUUCUACACUGACUAUUUUCAUAUCUUUAGGGGUAGUUCCUAUCCGCAGUCCUACAGUGGGCAAAAAUAGGCAGUAGAAAAAAUCUGAUCAUCAUGCUGAUCUGCACAGUGCAGAUAUUUUCCUGCUUUUUGAAAGAAGGAACAUAGGAUGUCUUGGUGCCAAGUAUUCUUAAAUUAGCUGGAAAAACCUAAAGUUGGAGGAUGCUACAGUUGUUUCUCAUUUGAAGUUUUGUGAAACAAAUGUGGAGAUUUAUUCCACAAUCUUUAGCUUUCCAGGAAGACACCCAUCCACAAAGCCAUGGGCGAUGGAUGACAUGAAAUUAUAAUUGAUUAAGAAAAAUACUUACUGAGAUCGAAAGCAAAAAUUUUAUUAUUGUAAGCUGCACAUUGUGUUGAAAAAAAGCAAAAUCGGGUAUUUGAAAAGAAGUUAACAGGCAACAUGAUUUAAUACUUCAUAAAUGGCAGAUCCUUUCAUUCACUAAGUCUUGGUGGGAACACACAGUGGCCCAGAAUUGUUUACCUUUUGUGCACAUUCUGCGUUGGCUUUUAUUCAACCAAGUAAUUAAUAAUCACUUUUGUGUAUUUCCUAAAGAGGAGGAUUUCCAGCAGCUGCUUGCUUCAUUUGAAUCCAGUUGACAGUCACAUUUACCAGCUGUUCCUAGUUUAAUGGGUAGCUACUGUUUAGUAUGAGUAUUAACAUUUAGCUUCAUCUGAUUUAAGUGAAAGAAAUAUUAAAGGAAAAAUGACUCUUUGGAAACAACCAUAUACCAAUUCUUUACACCCAACAAUAAAACAAAAGAAGAGCUUAUCAUGGUGCUGUAAUAGUAUCGCUUACCUGAAGAAUGUUAGCUGCAUUAAUAAUUAUGCACAGAAAAAACGGUUGGUCGCAAUUCCAAACGUCAAAUGUACAGAUUUCCGGUUGGACGAGCGGGUCAUGAAGAAAAUGAAAGAAUAUUCGCUGUAUUACAUGUCACUCCAAUUCAUUCGACAACAGGACAACAGCAUCAUUCUUCAUUCGGACUGUUCCUGAUUGUCUUGAAGAUGUAUUGCUAUUGCUCGUCAUGCCCAAUGAGAAAUUUUACAGGACUGCGUUGCAAAUUGGUAUCAGCUCUACAAAAGUAUAGCAAAAAUGUCAUUUUUAUUUUUUGAAUAUAAAAUUACGUUACCUCCCUGCUUCAUUGGACAACAGAUUUAGAUCACAUGUCUACUGUGAAAACGAUCAUGUGUCUGUUACAGAAUAUGGCUCUCUCCGUUCGCGACAUUAGACCUCCUCAUUGUGUCAUUCUGAUGCAGAGCUCCUGAAAUGAAGUUGAACGUUUUGAACAAUCUCAGACCAAAGCUGAAGUUCUAGAGGUAUUAGGGAAGUGGUUGCUUUUUGGUUAGUUUCUUCGCCGUCAGAUGCAUCAACCGGAAUAGUGUUCCUCCUCUCGUCACUCCCUCGACGUCAUUGCUCACAAAAAUGUGGUGCAUUUUUCUUAUCUUGAUGUUAUAUCAACUCGCAAAGACAAAUCGGAAGACGGUACUCUUUUCCUGGACAAAAAAGAAUGGAAAUUUAAUACAUUAGCAAGUAAUCCGCAGCCAAAUAGAUCAAACGCAAGAGAUAUCCCGCCUCGUCCGGCAACUUACCAUCCAGCAACGCAUCCAUCAACAGAGUGUUGAAGAGGAAACAAAUUGUCUACAUGCCGACUCGACGAUUUCCAUGCAAGAUGGAAUGUUAAAAUCCAAGGAGAUCUGGUGAGCAGGAUGCAACGGACUAUGUCAUGUCAAACCAUUAGCUGAAUACAAUGAAAACUAUCAGUUCUCCAGAACGAGAGGCCUACAUAGGUAAUAAUCAUACUGAAUCAAAAGAGGUACCUAAUUGAACGAGAUUUUAUAACGAUAACGACGAAGUGCAUGUGGAAAUUCUAACAGAAAACGCUACCUGCAGGGUACCUUUACUUGCUGAUUCAUCCCGAAGAUAAAAUAUAUAAAAUUUUAUAAAUUAAAUUGCAUAUCUGGGCUCCCUUCUUUUCUGUGGCCCCGUUUCCCCUUGACUUGUGAUAAGCCCGUAGGGGGUCAUGCCCCUACUGUGAUCAGCAGCAAA